ensembl:lncRNA
GCCCGGCGGACCUGCCGUGCGGGGUGGUGCGGAGACGCGGAGUGGUGUGGGCUCUUUUUUUUUUUUUUUUUUUUUUUCUUGCGUAGGGCGAGAUGUUGUUUUGUUGUGACGAUCAGCUGAGUGUGGCAUCGCUGUCCGGUCUGACACCACGAGAAGAAGAAGAAGAAGAAGAAGAGGGGGGAGGAGGAGGAGGAGAAGAAGAAGAAGCGCCUCUCCGGCUCCACACUAAACGUGGGGACGGAGCGCCUCUUUCCAGCGCAUCGCAAUCCAGGAAAUGCGGACUUGUGGCCCUUUCGCUUCGGGAUAAACGGCUGCAGAAGCCGCACCGUGGAGAGCCGGGACCAGUUGAAGAGGGAGCAACAGUGGAGACUGACGCUGCGCACUUCGAGGCUGUAUUAGAUGCCCGAUGGAGCCCGUGAAGUUGUCUGUGACGGGCUACACCUACACUUGACUCGGGCCUCGAGGAGAAGAUUGAUUUGGGUGUGGGCCUGAAAAGCCUAAUAAUCUUUGAUGAGACAAGUUCAUCGAGCAGCCUCAAAAUCACACAAAAGGCAUGACAGUAGCUGAAUCAUCUCCACAAUGCACUGCAGCCUUAGUGAAGUAAUCUCAUGUCACAUUUGUCACACUGUCAUGGUGGAUUAACAGUCAAAGACGAAUGGUCAGUGAUGGUGCCGCUCAGCAUGGAUCUCUCUGUUAGGGAAGGUAUCAAUGAAAGUAGAGAAAACUGGUAUUUUAGAGAUUGUGUCACACUGUAGCUCUGGCAUUUCUCUUACCAGUGAUCACUGGGUAUCUUUCAGUAGCAUUUGCACAGACAACCUAGUCUCUGCCAUGCUUCUUCUACAAACUUUUUCACCCCAGGAGAGGAUCCUCCCUUCCCGCCUCUUGCCAGAGCAAAACCCCAGAGCUGCUGACACAGGCUCACCCAGCGUGAUUGAGAAAAUAAACAGAUGAUGAAAAAAAAAAGUGUGUGCCGCUCAUCAUAGGGCUACAUGUUUAUCCUCUGCUGCAGGGUUGUCAUCAACUUAUGGGGAGCAAAGAUGGAU